GCUACGGGUGGCUGCAGUGAGGACUAUUGGUCAAUGGGCUUACGCCUGAACCAGCCAAGUCGCGUGAGGGAAGACUGCCCUAUGGGUUGUAAACCUCUUUUGUCAGGGAGCAACGCCGGCUCCGUGUAGCCGGACUGAGAGUACCUGAAGAAAAAGCAUCGGCUAACUCCGUGCCAGCAGGCGCGGUAAUACGGAGGAUGCGAGCGGUAGCCGGAUUUAUUGGGUUUAAAGGGUGCGCAGGCGGAAGAUCAAGUCAGCGGUAAAAUUGAGAAGCUCAACCUCUUCGAGCCGUUGAAACUGGUUUUCGUGAGUGGGCGAGAAGUAUGCGGAAUGCGUGGUGUAGCGGUGAAAUGCAUAGAUAUCACGCAGAACUCCGAUUGCGAAGGCAGCAUACCGGCGCUCAACUGACGCUCAUGCACGAAAGUGUGGGUAUCGAACAGGAUUAGAUACCCGGGUAGUC
rnacentral:rRNA from 1 species